UACAGAGGGGGCAAGCGUUAUUCGGAAUUAUUGGGCGUAAAGGGCGCGUAGGCGGCCUUGCAAGUGACGGGUGAAAUCCCUCGGCUUAACCGAGGAACUGCCUGUCAAACUGCAUGGCUUGAGACCGGGAGAGGUGAGUGGAAUUCCCAGUGUAGCGGUGAAAUGCGUAGAUAUUCGGAGGAACACCAGUGGCGAAGGCGGCUCACUGGUCCAUUACUGACGCUGAGGUGCGAAAGCGUGGGGAGCAAACAGG
rnacentral:rRNA from 1 species